rnacentral:rRNA from 1 species
AUGCUCCACAUGCACAAUCUCAAGAAGGUUAAGAUGCGGUGGGGGGGCACAAGCACGGUCCCGACCCAAGAUUUGUCUGGCCUACUUGCCGACUCCCUGCGGAGGCGAUUUGGGCUCGAGUGCCUAUCAAUUGAUUUUGGUGAGCACUCGCUAGAUUUUAUGAACCCCCUGUCAUAUUCAGAAACCUUCUUGCUCAAAUCCGUCAAGCUGCGCGGAAGCCUCAGCGAGGGUCUACCGGGCUUCAUGUACAAGCUGGAAUAUCUCUCGGAGCUUCAUCUUUUCUCCACUGGCCUGGACAGCGAGGCCCUCUCGGCCCUGCAACAACUAAUCACUUGGAGCACCUGCAGCUCGAAGAGGUCAGUGACAGAUUCGGGAGCUGCACCUUCAGUUUGGCGGCAGGCAAAUUUGAGAGACUCAAGCGACUCAUCAUCGAUGCCCCCAAGCUUCCACAGGUGA